AUCCAUCUGACGAGUCCUGAAUAGGACGAAACGAACGCCCUGGAU
rnacentral:hammerhead_ribozyme from 1 species